rnacentral:piRNA from 1 species
UUAAUGUCUUGUGCCAGGAGGAGGAA